rnacentral:rRNA from 12 species
GAACCAGUACCGUGAGGGAAAGGUGAAAAGCACCCCGGGAGGGGAGUGAAAGAGAACCUGAAACCGUGUGCCUACAAGUAGUCAGAGCACGUUAAAGUGUGAUGGCGUGCCUUUUGUAGAAUGAACCGGCGAGUUACGAUCUGAUGCAAGGUUAAGCAGCGAAUGUGGAGCCGUAGCGAAAGCGAGUCUGAAUAGGGCGCUGAGUAUU